GUGGGGAAUAUUGGACAAUGGGCGAAAGCCUGAUCCAGCCAUGCCGCGUGUGUGAAGAAGGUCUUCGGAUUGUAAAGCACUUUAAGUUGGGAGGAAGGGCAGUAAGUUAAUACCUUGCUGUUUUGACGUUACCAACAGAAUAAGCACCGGCUAACUUCGUGCCAGCAGCCGCGGUAAUACGAAGGGUGCAAGCGUUAAUCGGAAUUACUGGGCGUAAAGCGCGCGUAGGUGGUUCAGCAAGUUGGAUGUGAAAUCCCCGGGCUCAACCUGGGAACUGCAUCCAAAACUACUGAGCUAGAGUACGGUAGAGGGUGGUGGAAUUUCCUGUGUAGCGGUGAAAUGCGUAGAUAUAGGAAGGAACACCAGUGGCGAAGGCGACCACCUGGACUGAUACUGACACUGAGGUGCGAAAGCGUGGGGAGCAA
rnacentral:rRNA from 1 species